rnacentral:rRNA from 1 species
UACAGAGGUCUCAAGCGUUGUUCGGAUUCAUUGGGCGUAAAGGGUGUGUAGGUGGCCAUGUUAGUCUCUCGUUAAAUUCUUCGGCUUAACCGGGGGCCUGCGGGGGAAACGGCAAGACUUGAGGAUGCGAGGGGUGAAUGGAACUCAUAGUGUAGGGGUGAAAUCCGUUGAUAUUAUGGGGAACACCAAAAGCGAAGGCAAUUCACUGGCGCACUCCUGACGCUGAAACACGGAAGCGUGGGUAGCGAAUGGG